rnacentral:rRNA from 1 species
UGGGGAAUAUUGGACAAUGGGGGCAACCCUGAUCCAGCCAUUCCGCGUGAGUGAAGAAGGCCUUCGGGUUGUAAAGCUCUUUCAGCAGGAACGAAACGGUCGGCUUUAAUAAAGUCGGCUAAUGACGGUACCUGCAGAAGAAGCACCGGCUAACUACGUGCCAGCAGCCGCGGUAAUACGUAGGGUGCGAGCGUUAAUCGGAAUUACUGGGCGUAAAGCGUGCGCAGGCGGCGACAUAAGACAGAUGUGAAAUCCCCGGGCUCAACCUGGGAACUGCGUUUGUGACUAUGUUGCUAGAGUGUAGCAGAGGGGGGUGGAAUUCCACGUGUAGCAGUGAAAUGCGUAGAGAUGUGGAGGAACACCGAUGGCGAAGGCAGCCCCCUGGGUUAACACUGACGCUCAUGCACGAAAGCGUGGGGAGCAAACAGGAUUAGAUACCCAGGUAGUCCCUGAGCGGGCUGGCAAGGCGCAU